rnacentral:hammerhead_ribozyme from 1 species
GCACUGCUGAUUAGUUCCAGACUAGGACGAAACGGCCGUCCAGUGC